rnacentral:rRNA from 1 species
GCCACUGCUAUUGGGGUUCGGCUAAGCCAUGCGAGUGGAGGGCGUCCCGCAAGGGAUGGCCCCGCAGACGGCUCAGUAACACGUCAUCAACCCACCUUAGGGUGGGGGACAACCUCGGGAAACUGAGGAUAAUCCCCCAUAGGCGGGGGAGGCUGGAAUGCGCCCCCGCUGAAAGCUCAGGCGCCCUAGGACGGGACGGCGGCCUAUCAGGUAGUUGGUGGUGUGACG